AUACUUACCUUAAAGAGGCUUGGUGGCGAUCAUGACGGCCGCUAGCUGCUGCGUGGAGCUGGACCUGCACUGUGUCUGUACGUGAAACGCAGCCAGAAGGCCCUCAGGGCGUUCUCUCUUUAUCAUUUUUGAAAUAGUCUUUCAGCGAUACUCGCUCGAAGGCU